CGCGGCCAGGAUAUUACAGAGCACAUGCACCAAUGAGGCGGUGCCUGCUUCCUGCUGUGAAGUGGGAUGAGCACACCUUGCGAGUCCAUGGUCUCCAGGACCCAGUGCACAUCCUCUGCUGGCGUGGCAGGUUACGGUCCCUCAGCCUCUGCUCCACUAGUUCAUUUCAUGACCCACCGAGAGCCCAGACUGUGGACACUGUCUUACCAAGCGCUGUGCGCAUAGCCUUCCUGGGCCUCCGCUGCCAGCACUAGCCCUGCCUGAAGGACACUUUGUGAAACGUUGGCUUCAGAUGUUCGGGAACUGGCAGUGAUUCGCGGGGAUCAGCUGACAGCAGCCGACCUGGUGCCUAUCUUCAGUGGCUUCUUGAAGGAUCUGGUCAAAGACAAGAGGAGAGUGCACCUCUGCCAGCUGCCGAGGUUGGUGGUGACUGACAGCAGCCCGAACUAGGGGUUUCCAUAUGGACUAGCAGAGUUACAGCUAGUCAUCUCACAAAUAAUUGUCUUCCUGAAGAAAUCCAUCAGGCUUUUGCAGCUACGUAGGAUAUGAUUUGGCCGGUGCCGGGGGCAAACUGGAAGAUUUUCUCUUUGCUGUGAGCUUUAAUCAUUAUCCUUAAUUUGAGAGGUUGAAGUUUAGUCAUUAUGUCAUGUUCGCAGCACACUCCUGCAAAAAGAACUGAGAAAAACAAG
rnacentral:lncRNA from 1 species